rnacentral:rRNA from 1 species
CAGCCGCCACGGUAAUACGUAGGUGGCAAGCGUUGUCCGGAAUUAUUGGGCGUAAAGGGCUCGCAGGCGGUUUCUUAAGUCUGAUGUGAAAGCCCCCGGCUCAACCGGGGAGGGUCAUUGGAAACUGGGAAACUUGAGUGCAGAAGAGGAGAGUGGAAUUCCACGUGUAGCGGUGAAAUGCGUAGAGAUGUGGAGGAACACCAGUGGCGAAGGCGACUCUCUGGUCUGUAACUGACGCUGAGGAGCGAAAGCGUGGGGAGCGAACAGGAUUAGAUACCCCGGUAGUCCCUGUCUCUUAUAA